rnacentral:rRNA from 1 species
UACGUAGGGGGCAAGCGUUAUCCGGAUUUACUGGGUGUAAAGGGAGCGUAGACGGCAAGGCAAGUCUGGAGUGAAAGCCCGUGGCCCAACCACGGGACUGCUCUGGAAACUGUGUUGCUGGAGUGCAGGAGGGGUAAGCGGAAUUCCUAGUGUAGCGGUGAAAUGCGUAGAUAUUAGGAGGAACACCGGUGGCGAAAGCGCUUUACUGGACCAUUAUUGACGCUGAGGAACGAAAGCCAGGGGAGCAAAUGGG